rnacentral:lncRNA from 1 species
CUCUUACUAGGAUUCCAACACUGCAUUUUCUCCACUUGUCUGCCCCCUGUAGCUUCUUCUACAGUUGCAAUCCGUCAGGUAGUCAUAUGUAAGUUCCCUUCUCAUUGAAUUCUUUCCUCUAGAAGAAACCUCCAUUCUCAUGGCUUUAAAUAUCUGACUUCUUAAAUUCACUCUCUUGCUUUAAGCUAUUCAUUUAAUUCAAUAAAAACUGAGCAACUUUUAUGCAUAAGGCUUCUUGAGAACAGAGGAAUGAGUAAAAUCUUCCAGUUUCUCUCUUGCAAAUGGGUUAGAUAUGAAGAAAAUAAGAAAGAUGAAGUAACUCUGUCGCCUGUUGGGAAGAGCUAUAAAGAAAAGGGUGAGAGACUGCGAAGAGACGGAAGCACCACAGGGCCAGCGUCUGCUCAGCUGUGCUUCCUCAGUGAGGCUUCCUCCGCUUACUUUAUUUAAUAUACCUUUCCACUCUCCCAGUAACUGUUCUAAUCACUGCACCCUCCCUUCAGUCCAUGUCUUAACUUUUGGCCUCUGUUCUUUGUUUUCUCAUACAUGAGUCAACUACCACCUCCCACCUCGCCAUUGCCUCCCGGCUGCCAGAAAUGCAGGCUGAAACCAGGGCUUUGAAGCUCUACCACUGUUCUCAGCCCCAAACUCAGGACAAGAUUCUCUGUGGAACCAUGGCUAUCCUUGAACUCACAGAGAUUCAUUGCUGCUGGGAGUAAAGGUUUGUACCACCACCUGCCCAGCCUUACUCCAUGAUUUUUAAGGAAUUCUCUAAAUGGCAAUGCUGAUUCAACUAAGAAGGCCAGAAUGAUGACACAGAUAUAACCCUAGCUUCCUAGACUUCAUGCAGAAAGUGACUAUGCCACUUACCACAACUUGCCACUCUACUCUGAAUAUUUACUUUAAAAUAUAUACACUUUACUUUUAACAUUUAUUUUCUUUUAAUUCUGUGUAUGUGCAUAUACCCUUUUCUGGGAGUGAUUUUUAGAGCUGUGGAUACGAGAGGCCGGUCAUGAGAGAGAAGCCUCCUGUGGGGAGGUCUUCAUAAGAGCAGUGCACGCUCAAUGCUGAGCCAUGGCUUCAUCGCUACAGGCAGCAUUAUGACUGUAACCAGGAAGGAAACGCUUUGCUCUGUCUGAUUGAACUCCAUCAAUAAAUUGAAACACUAUUAAUGAAAACAUU